rnacentral:rRNA from 1 species
UACGAAGGGGGCUAGCGUUGCUCGGAAUCACUGGGCGUAAAGCGCACGUAGGCGGCUUCUUAAGUCAGGGGUGAAAUCCUGGAGCUCAACUCCAGAACUGCCUUUGAUACUGAGAAGCUUGAGUUCGGGAGAGGUGAGUGGAACUGCGAGUGUAGAGGUGAAAUUCGUAGAUAUUCGCAAGAACACCAGUGGCGAAGGCGGCUCACUGGCCCGGUACUGACGCUGAGGUGCGAAAGCGUGGGGAGCAAACAGG